AUGAUCUCCUACCCCGUGCGUACCGCGAUCGGUUUUGAUCGGAACAUGCUGACGAUGGAGAGUACUGCAGAAGUAUUCAACCUGGGAGAGACCGUGCACUCGUGGUCCGAUCAGCACCAUGAUAGACUUAUGAGAAGGGAAUGCCAAAAUGCGGACCCCAAGGACACACACAACUCGGGGAUACAACUUCAAAACCCAACACUUUCACUUCAAGCGCUGGAGGUUUGCGAGCUGGUGGACUUGGGUUUUGAAGGGGAUAUUUUCACGUGGCGGAACCAUAGCAAGGAGUUGAGCACGUAUAUCUGUGAGAGAUUGGAUAGAGCCACUGCUAACACAGCGUGGAGUACAAAGUUUCCGGAGUAUGAAGUGGUAAAUGGGGCGCCUCGCCAUUCGGAUCAUCGGCCCAUUAUUGUCAGCACGACGGGACUUGAUAGGAGUUGGAAGGGAGGAGAUAGAGGGUUUCGUUUUGAGGCGAGAUGGCUACAAGAGGAAGGAUGUGAAGAGGUGAUCCGGGAAGCUUGGGAGAGAAGCUGGGAGGAGAGGAAGGGUGGAGUAGCUCAUGCACUGAAGGAGAUAGCGGGGAAGAUGAAGGUGUGGGAUAAGGAAGUAGUUGGAGCAGUGGAAGGGAGGUUGAGAAAAGCGAAAACAGACUUGGAGCGGUGCAUGAAAGAAGUAGUGUCGCAAGAGAAGAUUGAGGAGGAGGCAAGGCUAAGAUGCUUGAUGUGA
rnacentral:rRNA from 1 species